CCUACGGGAGGCAGCAGUGGGGAAUAUUGGACAAUGGGCGAAAGCCUGAUCCAGCAAUGCCGCGUGAGUGAUGAAGGCCUUAGGGUUGUAAAGCUCUUUUACCAGGGAUGAUAAUGACAGUACCUGGAGAAUAAGCUCCGGCUAACUCCGUGCCAGCAGCCGCGGUAAUACGGAGGGAGCUAGCGUUGUUCGGAAUUACUGGGCGUAAAGCGUACGUAGGCGGUUAUUCAAGUCAGAGGUGAAAGCCUGGAGCUCAACUCCAGAACUGCCUUUGAAACUAGAUAGCUAGAAUCUUGGAGAGGUGAGUGGAAUUCCGAGUGUAGAGGUGAAAUUCGUAGAUAUUCGGAAGAACACCAGUGGCGAAGGCGACUCACUGGACAAGUAUUGACGCUGAGGUACGAAAGCGUGGGGAGCAAACAGGAUUAGAUACCCUGGUAGUCCACGCCGUAAACGAUGAUAACUAGCUGUUCGGGCUCUACGAGCUUGAGUGGCGCAGCUACGACAUUAAGUUAUUCCGCCGUCGGGGAGGUACGGUCGGCGAAGAAUUAAAACUAACAAAGGAAGUUAGUACGGCGUGAGACGUGCCGACGGACGACGACGAGGGAGGUUAGG
rnacentral:rRNA from 1 species